CCAGCAGCUGCGGUAAUUCCAGCUCCAAUAGCGUAUAUUAAAGUUGUUGCAGUUAAAAAGCUCGUAGUCGAAAUUCUGGCUGGUCCUGUUUCCGGCUUCGGUCGACUCAGGACCUAGUCAUCCGUCGGAGAACCCUUGUCGUCCUUCACUGGUCGCUUGGGGGAACUGACCCUUUACUUUGAAAAAAUUAGAGUGUUUCAGGCAGGCUCUCGCCCGAAUACUCCAGCAUGGAAUAAUGGAAUAGGACUUUCUUCUAUUUUGUUGGUUAUUAGUGGAAAGUAAUGAUUAAUAGGGACAGUUGGGGGCAUUCGUACUUAAUUGUCAGAGGUGAAAUUCUUGGAUUUAUUAAA
rnacentral:rRNA from 1 species